rnacentral:rRNA from 1 species
AUAUCAAUAAGCGGAGGAAAAGAAACCAACCGGGAUUGCCUUAGUAACGGCGAGUGAAGCGGCAAAAGCUCAAAUUUGAAAUCUGGUACCUUUGGUGCCCGAGUUGUAAUUUGGAGAGGGCAAUUUCGAGACCGUUCCUUGUCUAUGUUCCUUGGAACAGGACGUCAUAGAGGGUGAGAAUCCCGUGUGGCGAGGAGUGCGGUUCUCAAUGUGAAAUGCCUUCGAAGAGUCGAGUUGUUUGGGAAUGCAGCUCUAAGUGGGUGGUAAAUUCCAUCUAAAGCUAAAUAUUGGCGAGAGACCGAUAGCGAACAAGUACAGUGAUGGAAAGAUGAAAAGAACUUUGAAAAGAGAGUGAAAAAGUACGUGAAAUUGUUGAAAGGGAAGGGCAUUUGAUCAGACAUGGUGUUUUGUGCCCUCUGCUCCUUGUGGGUAGGGGAAUCUCGCAUUUCACUGGGCCAGCAUCAGUUUUGGUGGCAGGAUAAAUCCGUAGGAAUGUAACUUGCUUCGGGAAGUAUUAUAGCCUGCGGGAAUACUGCCAGCUGGGACUGAGGACUGCGACGUAAGUCAAGGAUGCUGGCAUAAUGGUUAUAUGCCG